GAUGAACGCUGGCGGCGUGCCUAAUACAUGCAAGUCGAGCGAACAGAUGAUGAGCUUGCUCCUCUGACGUUAGCGGCGGACGGGUGAGUAACACGUGGAUAACCUACUUAUAUUACUGGGAUAACUUCGUGAAACCGGAUCUAAUACCGGAUAAUAUAUUGAACCGCAUGGUUCAAUAGUUAAUGACGGCUUUGCUGUCUCUAAUAGAUGGUUCCGCGCCGCAUUAGCUAGUUGGUAAGGUAAAGGCUUACCAAGGCAACGAUGCGUAGCCGACCUGAGAGGGUGAUCGGCCACACUGGAACUGAGACACGGUCCAGACUCCUACGGGAGGCAGCAGUAGGGAAUAUUGCGCAAUGGGCGAAAGCCUGACCGAGCAAGGCCGCGUGAGUGAUGAAGGUCUUCGGGUCGUAAAGCUCUGUUAUUAGGGAAGAACAGAUGUGUAAGUAACUCUGGACGUCUUGACGGUACCUAAUCAGAAAGCCCCGGCUAACUACGUG
rnacentral:rRNA from 1 species